UACAAUCAUAGCACGUAGAAACACCAUUUCCCGUACGAUAACUGAAGUUAAACAACGUCGUGCCUGUUCAGUACCUAGAUGAGUAACCAGUUGGGAAUAUCAGCUGCAGUA